UACGUAGGGUGCGAGCGUUAUUCGGAAUUACUGGGCGUAAAGCGUGCGCAGGCGGCUUGUUAUGUCUGGCGUGAAAGCCCCGGGCUUAACCUGGGAAUUGCAUUGGAAACUAGCGGGCUGGAGUGUGGCAGAGGGGGGUGGAAUUCCACGUGUAGCAGUGAAAUGCGUAGAGAUGUGGAGGAACACCGAUGGCGAAGGCAGCCCCCUGGGCUAACACUGACGCUCAUGCGCGAAAGCGUGGGGAGCAAACAGG
rnacentral:rRNA from 1 species